rnacentral:lncRNA from 1 species
CGUGAAUAAUAUCUCGUAAGAGUAAUAUUCUAAAGUUUCAAGUUCCUAAAGCGCGGCACAAGUGUAAUUUUAAGCGUUUUCAAUGGCGGUUCCCAGGGAAGAAUAACGAUCUUUCAUCGCCGAUGUCGUGAAAAGGGAAGGGAGGGUAAUGACGGGAGCGGGCUCGCGUAUUAGGAAACAAGUUUAAGGCCGUUGGUGGUUGAGGAGCCUCGAAACUGCGUCCGUGGCGCGGGGAGGCCCCCGAUAUUAUUACUAUGUAAAUCACCCCCUCUGCACGCUGACGCCCACGGUGACAGCCUCCCGAGUGGCCCACGACGCACAAUGGAUGAGCUCCGGCUUCUUAUUAGAUAUUCCUAUGCGCCAUCCCUCCGAUCUGCAAACACACGUUCUUCCCCCCCAUCUCGAUACACGUUAUAUAUCCGCGCUCCUUGGUGGUCGAGUCGGGCGGAUUUUAUGGAAAAUGGUGGCCUCGAUUUAAUCAAAAAUUGUCGGCCGAAUGCAUUGACGUUUCCUUCCGAUUUCGAUAGUUAUUAUUCGAGAUUAUUAUUUAUGAGAGAAGAAAGAAAAUUUGUAUGGAAUAAUAUGGAUAAUUGUGAGAAUUAUUUAGAAAAGAUGUGUUUUUGCGGUGAAAGAAUUCAAUUCGAUUUUAAUUACAUUGCGGUACUAUAAUUACAGUUACCUGUCGAAUUCUAUUUCCAUUCUGAAUAAUUUCUUUUUGUCAAAAUCCUUUGUACAUAAGAUAUCCUUUCUUUAAAAAAAAAAAAAAAAGAAGAAGAAGAAAUCAUGCGAAUUAGAAUCGUGGAUUUAAUUGCAAAAUUUUCCAAAGAAUGAUUAUUGAUUAGAAUAUCAAGAGACAAGCAUAAACUGUGCAUAACGAGUUUGGUAAACAAUAUAAAAGGGGUCGAAAGAGGAAGGGUUGCUGCCCUUGGGAUAAAAGGGUUCGCGGUCUGACCCGACAGAUACUUUGACGUCUUUCUCCAUAAAACACAAUGUUAAUUAACGAACAGGAGACGCCCUCUCGCGGAGAUCCCUGGCUACAUUCGCGACUCUCAAUCAACGGCGGUAUUCAUGAGCCUAUCACGACGCUCAGACGCACGACUAAAUUAUGCAAACUAAGUAUAGAACGUUUUAUGAACGAAAGUAUCAAGAUGCCUUUGCGAAACGGUUUUUCACUGUCUAUACCAAGUGCACACUGUUUGUUCGAGUUUGAAAAGAAGAGUUUGAUUUUUACUUGUUGUUCACUUCGAUCGUUGGAUACGAUUAUCGAUGCGUGGAAAUUAGAACUCGUCCAGAUGGAAUCAUUUUGUUCGAGUUAACCAUCGUAAUAGUCUAUAUAUAUAUCGACGACUCGAUACCAGGAAAAGUAGUUGGAAAAUACAGGUUAGGAAUUGGGUUGACACGGAUGAAUAAUGUAUCUUGAUGAUUUCAUUUCACGUUUCGGUUCGAAGAAUUUAUUCUUUCAGAAGAAUUUCGAUCAGGAUCAAGAGACGUGGACACAUGAAUUUCAUCAUAAAUUGGCAAGAUGUUCGAAAAAUCUAUAAUUAACCCGAUUAAUUGACAAAACUGGACGCGCAACGUACAUCCUAUCCCGUGUAAUCGUUCUGUGGAGAGGAACAAAGACAGAGAAAUCUCAAAAUGGUGGUCGUACAAAGCGAAGGACGUACACGAUAAUUUCACCCGUGUGUGCGCAAUCUUAUUCACGAUAUCGACGUCUCCGUACAGGUGAAUUCACUCUGAUUACAGAUUCAGCCAACCUGAAAAUUACGCGGUCGAUUCUCCGUGACGAGCAACGGAAUGAGAGAGAGGGAGAGAGAGAGAGAGAGAAGGUGAUGAAGUCGAAUCAUGUAUUCAUGAGAAAGAGAGAGAGAUUGAUAAACACAACAUCACGUAAUUUCGCUUAUAAGAUCAAAUUACAGUCGGCGUCGAAUUAAAGACCGUUCAUUUUCUGCCUGUUUAUUCGCGAUUCAUUCGUAAAAUGUGUACCAUAGUCUUGAAUCCAAGUACCGAUUUACGUCGAUUCGCGUCAUGUUUUUAAUGCUACAACUUGAACGAGCGUCGUUUAAGCGUCGUGGAAUUACUAAAAGGAAAAUAAGACCUUGCCACUCUCUUCGAUUAACUCGAUCGAUAAUUCUUAUUAGUUCGAAGGAAUUCAUUCGGAAAUUGAAACGUUUUUUCUCCUUCGAUAAAAUUUUUCACUGUGGAGGAGCAUAGAUGGCGUAACCAUCGGAACAAAUGCGCAUCUCCAAACCUCGAUAAAUCCCCUAUAUCCAAUUCAACCAAUCGGAAAAAAGAAAGAAAGAAAAGAGAGAAAAACUGGUAGAGGCUUCAAUUUCCUCGUCACGAAGCGGGCCAACAAAAGCAUUCCGGCCAGAUAAAUUUCUACGUUGGUCGCUUUUCGCGUCAGCCCUUCGACAACCUUCAAGUUCCUCACAAAGAAGGGAACACAGCGAUGGCGGUGGGCAGUGGUGUAGGCAGGUCCCUCGGGAAUCUUUCUCUCUCUCUCUCUCCAUCUUUCAUCUCUUUCUCCAUCGGCCACCGGCACAAAAGAAAGAAGAGGAUAGAUGAUUGAAGAGAGAACGAGUGAGAGUGAGAGAGAGAGAGAAAGGGACAUCUUGCUCCGCAGGACUCUCGCUCUCGCCACCGGCGCCCCCGCUAUUUAUUUUCCAGGAUUUCAGAGUCCGAAGCCAUUAAUCUCCGCUCCGCAGCGUCAGUGGAGCGCGUCAGGGCGACGUCGGGGUGCGUGGCGUCGGCGACGUCGCUCUGCUCUUAGCCGCAGAGCCUCGUGUACACCGUCGUGGCAGCCUGCUGUUGAGGGAGAGGGAGAAAUGGGAGAGAGAGAAGAAAGAACGAAAAGAUGAGGUGUCGGUGAAAGAAGAGAGAGGUGAACGUGGAGCGAGAGAAAGAAGGAGUGGAGGGAGAGAGGGAGGGGAAAGCGGCCGGAGAGGGGGAGUCGGUGAGAGACAUGGGAAGUUCUGUAAGGUUUGGAGGGGGGUGCUGAUGGCGGCGACGAGGGAGGGGAACUCCUACGGCCAAGUUAUGCAAAAAACGUCUAUUCGUGAAAGGAUGAUACCGUGCUGGAAGGUGGAAAGGCAUUAGUAUCUAAGAAUUUUGCGGUGAUGGCCUUUUGAUGUCCAUCCCAAUUCCAGUAUUCCGGUUUAACGCUCCGGUUUAUCGCGUUAAAGAAAUUGGAAUUGGAAUCUGAAAAUAUUUAUGACUCUUAUUGAUCCCCGAGAUAUAUCGGAGGCAUGCCGAUGAAUGAGUUGAAAAGCCAAGAGAGAUCUCUAUCGGCGCUUAAUCGUUAACAAGAACGAGAGAUCCAGCAUCUCGUAAGACAUUAAUCGCUCGAAAGUGACGCUGCCAACCGCAAUAACAACAACAACAACAACAACAACAACAACAACAACAACUGGGAUACCUGUUGGAUAUAUUCGAAAGUCUUGGUGGAAUGUGUGAAGAUGGCCAUUAUAUAGCCGAGUACGGGUUAAAUUAUAUUAAAUACUAAAUAA